GUUUAACUCAUAGUACUUGGUGAAAUCCUAAGGGAUAGGUUCUUAAAUGUUGACUGUAUUUCUCUCUCCAGAGUCACAAUCACUGAAUAAAGAGAAACGGGCUUUGUACAUCAAAAGUACAAUCAAACACAAUAAAUAUGACUUAUCAGUUCUAAAUGCAGGAAGUGCUACUUGUAAACAUAAACGAUACAAAUCCUGUAAAAUCCCCCACAGAAGAGUUCACCAGAAGAGUGCAAAAACAAAACAAAACAAUGCUCUUGAGGAUUCAGUGUCAUUUGCACAGUGCUACACAAUAAUGCCUCACCAGAAAAGGUAGUACCUGAGUGUAAAAGUUAUCUAUCAUCUUGCACUGUUUUUUUUUUUUUGGAGGGUGGUGUGAAGGGGAGAGAGGUGGAGAGAUAAACAGCAGGAAACACCUUCGCUCACUCACCCGCCUACCAGCGACAAUGAGUUAUUAAAAGCUCAGGCUUCCUCUGAGCAACUGGACAUGUUGAACCAGAUAAAUGGCGAUACAGGGUGGGAUGUGGCCAGAAGAAAGGAGCAAUUUAAAUCACAUUCAUCCCUUUCACCAUAAACUUACCAAGCAAUAUUCUUUUUAACUGGGACUUGUUUCUAAGUUCAAGUUAAAUCAUGAGUUGUCUGCUUUGAGGCAAGUCCAGUCCCAAGUUCUAGAGUCUAGUUUUGCGUCCCAAUACAUUUUUGAGUCUUAAAUGGGUCACUCUGUGAGGAAGUGUUACCUAUGCAGAGCUGCAGAAGUUUAUUUCACUGCAGAAGCGUAUAAAGAAUGUGUUUAAAAUCUGGUCAAUUAAAUUCCUUUUAUUUACUUUUUAUGUUUUUUUUUUAGUCUCAAUGUCUUUGGACAGCGUAAAAAAAGCAGAGAAGUCCCUGAAGAAUGUUGAGUUAGUUGGAGUAGGACAUCAGAGACUUUUAAAUAACAGCAGCAACUGACAAUAAAAGAACAAAAGGUACACAACAAUAAUAUUCUCUUAGAGAGGCCAUGGCACAGUUUGAUCAGUUGUUUACUGUAUAUUCAAACUAUUUGGUGAAGAUAAAUGGUAGAAUGGCAUGCCAUAGCUGAAAGCAAGAAUGAUUAUAUAAUUAGUAAAAUGUAGGUAAUACAUACCAUUCUCCUCCCCUCCUGAUUUGACUCCCAAAAGCAUGACCCCAUCUUUGUUAUUCUCUGUCCUUUGGAAUGAAGCACUGAGAUUUCAGUAGCAACUUCUCUGUUCCAUGAUUCAUGGUCUCAACU
ensembl:lncRNA